CGUGACCUGGCUGAAGUCGGACGCUUAACCGACUGAGCCACCCAGGCACCCCGUUUGUGUUUCUUUCAACUAAGGACUCCGUUAUCUCAAUGAUAUGUUAAAUGAAGAAGGCAAGUUGCCGAGUAAUGUAUACAGUACAAGAAGACAUAACAAUUUGAAAGAAUACAUAACAAGCACUUCAGAUUAUUUAGUGCCAACCUGAAACCAUAAAACUCCCAAAAGAAAACUUCAGGUGGUAAACUCCUUACCAUCAACCUUGGUGAUAACUUCUUGGACCUGAUUCCAAAACCAAACACAACAAAAG